UAAUAUAAUGGUGAAAUUUGAGUUAUGAGUUUUCAAGUGAUACCUCAUGUGGCAUAUUUUGUACAAAGAUUAGUACAAUAGUGUGUAGG